rnacentral:rRNA from 1 species
AUUCGGACAAAAGUGACAGGUGCUGCAUGGCUGUCGUCAGCUCGUGUCGUGAGAUGUUGGGUUAAGUCCCGCAACGAGCGCAACCCUUGUUAUUAGUUGCCAAUAUUAAGUUAGGCACUCUAAUGAUACUGCCCCGGUUAACGGGGAGGAAGGUGGGGAUGACGUCAAGUCCUCAUGGCCUUUAUACCCAGGGCUACACACGUGCUACAAUGGGCUAUACAAAGGGCUGCCACUCUGCAAAGAGGAGCUAAUCCCAAAAAGUAGUCCUAAGUUCGGAUUGGAGUCUGCAACUCGACUCCAUGAAGCNGGAAUCGCUAGUAACCGUGGAUCAGCAUGCCACGGUGAAUUCGUUCCCGGGCCUUGUACACACCGCCCGUCACACCACGAAAGUUGGUCGCACCAGAAGU